GCCCAGAUGGCCUGAAGUAACUGAAGAAUCACAAAAGAAGUGAAUAUGCCCUGCCCCACCUUAACUGAUGACAUUCCACCACAAAAGAAGUGUAAAUGGCCAGUCCUUGCCUUAAGUGAUGACAUUACCUUGUGAAAGUCCUUUUCCUGGCUCAUCCUGGCUCAAAAAGCACCCCCACUGAGCAUCUUGCGACCCCGCUUGAAGCAGCCCUGAGAAACAUCGCCCAUUCUCUCUCCAUACCACCCCCCAAAAAUUUUCGCCGCCCCAACACUUCAACACUAUUUUGUUUUAUUUUUCUUAUUAAUAUAAGAAGGCAGGAAUGUCAGGCCUCUGAGCCCAAGCCAAGACAUCGCAUCCCCUGUCACUUGCACGUAUAUAUGCCCAGAUGGCCUGAAGUAACUGAAGAAUCACAAAAGAAGUGAAUAUGCCCUGCCCCACCUUAACUGAUGACAUUCCACCACAAAAGAAGUGUAAAUGGCCGGUCCUUGCCUUAAGUGAUGACAUUACCUUGUGAAAG
rnacentral:lncRNA from 1 species